GACGAACGCUGGCGGCGUGCUUAACACAUGCAAGUCGAACGGAAAGGCCCUGCUUUUGUGUGGUUCUCGUGUGGCGCACGGGUGAGUAACACGUGAGUAACCUGCCCUUGACUUUGUGAUACCUUCAGGAAACUGGGGCUACUACCGGAUAGGAGCUCCUGCUGCAUGGUGUGGGUUGGACAGUUUCGGCGGUUGGGGAUGGACUCGCGGCUUAUCAGCUUGUUGGUUGGGUAGUGGCUUACCAAGGCUUUGACGGGUAGCCGGCCUGAGAGGGUGAACGGCGAAAUUGGGACUGAGAUACGGACCAGACGCCUACGGGAGGCAGCAGUGGGGAAUAUAGAACAAUGGGCGGAAGCCUGAUGCAGCAACGCCGCGUGCGGGAUGACGGCCUUCGGGUUGUAAACCGCUUUCGCCUGUGACGAAGAGUGAGUGACGGUAAUGGGUAAAGAAGCACCGGCUAACUACGUG
rnacentral:rRNA from 1 species